rnacentral:rRNA from 1 species
AGUGAACGCUGGCGGUAGGCCUAACACAUGCAAGUCGAACGGCAGCACAGUAAGAGCUUGCUCUUACGGGUGGCGAGUGGCGGACGGGUGAGGAAUACAUCGGAAUCUACUUUUUCGUGGGGGAUAACGUAGGGAAACUUACGCUAAUACCGCAUACGACCUACGGGUGAAAGCAGGGGAUCUUCGGACCUUGCGCGAUUGAAUGAGCCGAUGUCGGAUUAGCUAGUUGGCGGGGUAAAGGCCCACCAAGGCGACGAUCCGUAGCUGGUCUGAGAGGAUGAUCAGCAAAACUGGAACUGAGACAGGGUCCAGACUCCUACGGGAGGCAGCAGUGGGAAAUAUUGGACAAGGGGCGCAAGCCUGAUCCAGCCAUACCGCGUGGGUGAAGAAGGCCUUCGGGUGGUAAAGCCCUUUUGUUGGGAAAGAAAAGCAGCAGGUUAAUACCCCGCUGUUCUGACGGUACCCAAAGAAUAAGCACCGGCUAACUUCGU